rnacentral:rRNA from 1 species
UACAGGGGGUGCAAACGUUGCUCGGAAUCAUUGGGCGUAAAGCGCACGUAGGCGGUCUGUUAUGUCGGAUGUUAAAGCCCUUGGCUCAACUGAGGAAGUGCAUCCGAAACUGGCAGGCUAGAGUACUAAAGAGGAUCGCGGAAUUCCCGGUGUAGAGGUGAAAUUCGUAGAUAUCGGGAGGAACACCGGUGGCGAAGGCGGCGAUCUGGGUAGAUACUGACGCUGAGGUGCGAAAGCGUGGGGAGCAAACAGG